UAGGGAAUCUUCGGCAAUGGACGAAAGUCUGACCGAGCAACGCCGCGUGAGUGAAGAAGGUUUUCGGAUCGUAAAACUCUGUUGUUAGAGAAGAACAAGGACGUUAGUAACUGAACGUCCCCUGACGGUAUCUAACCAGAAAGCCACGGCUAACUACGUGCCAGCAGCCGCGGUAAUACGUAGGUGGCAAGCGUUGUCCGGAUUUAUUGGGCGUAAAGCGAGCGCAGGCGGUUUCUUAAGUCUGAUGUGAAAGCCCCCGGCUCAACCGGGGAGGGUCAUUGGAAACUGGGAGACUUGAGUGCAGAAGAGGAGAGUGGAAUUCCAUGUGUAGCGGUGAAAUGCGUAGAUAUGUGGAGGAACACCAGUGGCGAAGGCGGCUCUCUGGUCUGUAACUGACGCUGGGGCUCGAAAGCGUGGGGAGCAAACAGG
rnacentral:rRNA from 1 species